UGCUCACUUUGGCAGCAAUAUACUAAAAUUGGAAUGACACAGAGAAGAUUAGCAUGGCCCCUGUGCAAGGAUGACACACAAAUUUGUGAAAUGUUCCAUAUUUUU
rnacentral:snRNA from 1 species